rnacentral:rRNA from 1 species
GAUGAACGCUGGCGGCGUGCCUAAUACAUGCAAGUCGAGCGAACAGACGAGGAGCUUGCUCCUCUGACGUUAGCGGCGGACAGGUGAGUAACACGUGGAUAACCUACCUAUAAGACUGGGAUAACUUCGGGAAACCGGAGCUAAUACCGGAUAAUAUAUUGAACCGCAUGGUUCAAUAGUGAAAGACGGUUUUGCUGUCACUUAUAGAUGGAUCCGCGCCGCAUUAGCUAGUUGGUAAGGUAACGGCUUACCAAGGCGACGAUGCGUAGCCGACCUGAGAGGGUGAUCGGCCACACUGGAACUGAGACACGGUCCAGACUCCUACGGGAGGCAGCAGUAGGGAAUAUUCCGCAAUGGGCGAAAGCAUGACGGAGCAACGCCGCGUGAGUGAUGAAGGUCUUCGGAUCGUAAAACUCUGUUAUUAGGGAAGAACAAAUGUGUAAGUAACUAUGCACGUAUUGACGGUACCUAAUCAGAAAGCCACGGCUAACUACGUG